rnacentral:misc_RNA from 1 species
AGAAACAGAGAAAGAGAGAGAGACUGUGUUUAGAUUUUGAAAAUUCCAAUCAAGUCCUUUCUCUUCUUAUCCAAUCCGUGCUUGGAUUUCUCGAUUUUGAUUCUUGUACGCUAAAUGCUAAGGAAGGAUUUCGACUGUUGAUUUGGGUGGACGGGAUUUAUUGCUUCAACUGGCCAAAUUACUGAGACAUGGUGGAGGGCCGGUCCUGUCUGGUACCAACGUUGUUUGCUAGCUCCUGCCAGCCAGAACCCCAGUGGCCUUUAAUGCCUUUCCGGCCCAGCAGCAAGCACCCAAUAGACGGCUCCGAGGACGAUUAUCGACCACUUAAGUACCCCAGGGUAUCAGAUUAUCACGAAACCACAGGUGAACAAUCUGCUGAUGAUCGAGCAGGGCAGUCUUCAGAUUCCGAUCCCCUUAUUGAUGCCAUUGGCCGUGACAUGUCUAUCAGUUGUCUCAUUCGCUGCUCUAGGUCUGAUUAUGGGUCUAUAGCUUCUCUGAAUAGAAGUUUCCGGUCUUUAAUUAGGAGUGGUGAUAUAUAUAAACUGAGACGGAAGCGCGGUGUUAUUGAGCAUUGGGUGUAUUUCUCUUGCCACUUGCUUGAGUGGGAGGCCUUUGAUCCCAUUCGCCGCAGUUGGAUGCAUUUGCCUAGGAUGCCUUCCAACGACUGUUUCAUGUGUUCGGAUAAGGAGUCCUUGGCUGUGGGCACUGAGCUUCUUGUAUUUGGUAAGGAGGUGAUGUCCCAUGUCAUAUAUAGGUAUAGUAUUUUGACUAAUUCGUGGUCUUCUGGGAUGACUAUGAAUGCUCCCAGAUGCU